GGGCCUCUAGCUCAGUUGGUAGAGCAAGGGACUUUUAAUCCCUGGGUCGUCGGUUCGAGCCCGACGGGGCCCACCC
rnacentral:tRNA from 8 species